GGAUGUGAGGGUGAUCUGGCUGCUACAUCUAUCACCCCAUUCACUGCCAGGUUGAUUCUGCUGAUUCUAGCUGGCUGGGCGGUGUCCCCUUCCUCCCUCACCACUCCAUGUGCAUCCUUCUCGAAGAACCAUUCUUUGGUCAAUGAGUAGCUGCACUCCCCUGCUACAGCCUCUAAAGAAGCUCUCAAGAGAAAUGAAAGAACAUGUCCAUAUAAACAACAGUACUUGAAUGUCCACAUCAGCUUUAUGCAUAGUAACUAAAAAUCAAAAAUAUGCAGACAACC
rnacentral:snRNA from 1 species